rnacentral:rRNA from 1 species
GUGGGGAAUCUUCCGCAAUGGACGAAAGUCUGACGGAGCAACGCCGCGUGAACGAUGACGGCCUUCGGGUUGUAAAGUUCUGUUAUACGGGACGAAUGGCGUAGCGGUCAAUACCCGUUACGAGUGACGGUACCGUAAGAGAAAGCCACGGCUAACUACGUGCCAGCAGCCGCGGUAAUACGUAGGUGGCAAGCGUUGUCCGGAAUUAUUGGGCGUAAAGGGCGCGCAGGCGGCGUCGUAAGUCGGUCUUAAAAGUGCGGGGCUUAACCCCGUGAGGGGACCGAAACUGCGAUGCUAGAGUAUCGGAGAGGAAAGCGGAAUUCCUAGUGUAGCGGUGAAAUGCGUAGAUAUUAGGAGGAACACCAGUGGCGAAAGCGGCUUUCUGGACGACAACUGACGCUGAGGCGCGAAAGCCAGGGGAGCAAACGGG